GCGGCAGGCCUAACACAUGCAAGUCGAGCGGAUGACGGGAGCUUGCUCCUUGAUUCAGCGGCGGACGGGUGAGUAAUGCCUAGGAAUCUGCCUGGUAGUGGGGGACAACGUUUCGAAAGGAACGCUAAUACCGCAUACGUCCUACGGGAGAAAGCAGGGGACCUUCGGGCCUUGCGCUAUCAGAUGAGCCUAGGUCGGAUUAGCUAGUAGGUGAGGUAAUGGCUCACCUAGGCGACGAUCCGUAACUGGUCUGAGAGGAUGAUCAGUCACACUGGAACUGAGACACGGUCCAGACUCCUACGGGAGGCAGCAGUGGGGAAUAUUGGACAAUGGGCGAAAGCCUGAUCCAGCCAUGCCGCGUGUGUGAAGAAGGUCUUCGGAUUGUAAAGCACUUUAAGUUGGGAGGAAGGGCAGUAAGCUAAUACCUUGCUGUUUUGACGUUACCGACAGAAUAAGCACCGGCUAACUCUGUGCCAGCAG
rnacentral:rRNA from 1 species